UAUUUUUUAUUGUAUUUGCAUUUCAAGCAUUGGACACGCCUUACUAAUGCUUUGCUUUCGAACUUCGAGUAAAAUGUCUUAGUCGUAUAGCUAUUCGUGCUUUAAAAUGUUGAUGGCAUUUAUUUUUCUUUUGACGUGUACUGGGUUAGCCAUGGGUAAAAAAAACAUGGAGGAUGGCAAUAUGUUUGCGGAAAUAAGAGCACCUGCAAAUAUAACUCCUAAGAAUCCUUCAAAAAGUUUUGCAACUGCAGAGGAGCAGAUCGAAUUAAAGGAGACGUGUGGACGGAGAUCAAUAAGACAAUACUACAAAAAAAUAGCGAAGUUCUUUCCUAAUACAACUGCUACUAAAAACCCUCUCCCUAUAAAAAUAUCAGUGAAAACAACAAGAAUACCUAUAAAAGGUAAACAGAUUUCAUCUAUAGUAGUUCAAAUGUGUGAUCGCACAGUAAGAACACUCAUUGAAAACAUUUCUAGAAUAAAUAAUAAAAAGGAAGUGGUUGCACAGUGCAUUGAAAUGUACCCCGAAAAAAACCUACAGCUAAUAUUGGGCACAGGACUACAUUUUGGCUAUGGAUUUGGCUCCAAACCGAGAACAAUUGUUCUCCCAAUGAAGGAACUUCCGAAGAGUGUAUUUCUUACAGUUCAAACAGCAAUUGCACUUCGAUUUUGGCAUGAAAGAAUAACUGAAAGUGCCAGGUGUGGGAAAGAAAUAAAAAUAGAAGUUGAGAACAUAGAGGAGAAAAUUGAUAAUUUUAAAGUACUAGGAUGCGUAUGUAAAGUUUAAUAAAGAACCUUAUUCAAUGUAUUGAAAA